UCAGGCCAGCAGCUGGCCUAGCAGGUUUGUUCCAGGGUCGAGCCCACAAGAAGCGCUCACUGCACUGAGAAGGCAGGGUUUGCCUGGCCUGACAGACACAUAGCCCACCAGAAGCCUAGGCUGCCUGGCUUCAAAACUUACCAAAGUUCAGGCCACCUGAUCUGAGAUCUGUCAGAGAUGCUCCGAGACUGCCAUAGAACCGGAAGAGUCAAGCCAGGAAGCACCACACACCCUUGAAGUUUUCAUCUCAUUUCGAUGCCUGGAAUCAGUCCCGAGGCCCUUCCCAACCGCAAGGCAUGUUGGGAAGUAGAACCUAGAUGUGUGUGAAGAAUACUGAUAUUCAGUCCUAGGGACAAUGUGGACUCCCCUAGAAGGAAAAGGAAAUCCUGGACAGGUCCUGAGCAGAAGGAGCUCCCAGGAGCCAAGCCUCAGGAACCACCUCCCCAUGAACUGAAACAUCUGGGCACUUUGAAGGAGCCGAGGAAAAUUUCUCAGUGCCUAGAGAUGGGGAAGGCUCAGUGUUCAGCUCACAGGCCCUGCUGAGCUGUCCUGUCUUAGGUUCUCUCCAUUAUCCCAGAUAGAAUGAACGCUUUGGGGUACCCUUUGUUAAGUUUCAAACCCCACCAAGAAGCUGUAGUAUCUAUCUAACAUAUCAAAUUGGACUUGAUUUUCCCAGCAUCCCUCAGCCCCUACCCGUUAUAAGGUAUGGCUUGCACACCACACCUCUACCCUGAAUCCUCCUGCCCAGGGGCUAGGCUGCCCUUCCCCCCAAAGCUCUUCCCUCCAUAAUCCAGACAUUUUGGUUAGUCGCCCCUACUGGUACCUUUGGCUUCUUGGCUGUUUCAUUCGGCUCCCUCUCCCCUUCUCCCUUUCCCUUUCCUUCUCCCCACACACCCCAGUCAGUCUAGCCACAUCCACUCUGGGCUCUCCCAGAUGUGCCUGCCUCUGGCUAUGCUCUCACUUUUACCUGCAAUAAACUUCCUCCUCCACCCUACCCAAGAGCAGCCAUGUCCCUUUCUUUCCUUUAUAUUUCUUUUUUUCAAUCACCUUUGAAUCCUUACC